UGGAAACGUGCAUUAAGUUAUUGGCCUUAUAUAAAUUAGGAUAAAAUUCAAAUAUCAUUUUUAUAGUUUUAAUUGUAUCAAUUUAGUAUCCUGUAGUUUUAUUUUUCUUCUUUCGUCAGCUCCCUCCGUUAAUAUUUUGUUAAAUUAUAUACAAAAAACUUCAGAUAUCCCACCUAAGUUUAUCGAAUAUUUAUUUUAAUAUCAUUUAGUUUUAGCUUUGUCGCUAAUUUAAUAAAAAAAAAUAGUGGGGGAAAUAAUAAAAAGAGAAAAAGAAACCACGAAGUAUUGAAUUGAUAUACUUUAAAUCAUAGGAUACUAAAAUAAAAAAAUACGAAAUCACAGUAAUGAUAUUUGAAGUUUUCUCUAUAAAUUAUAAAUUAUUUUUAGUCGACUAUAUAUCAAAUAUUUUAAAAUUUUGGCUUUAUUAUCCCACCUUUCUAUUUGCUUAAUUUAAGUUAGUCAACGACAGUUUAGUUUC
rnacentral:lncRNA from 1 species